rnacentral:sRNA from 1 species
UUUACUGAAAAAAUCAUGGCAACUCCAGAGCAGGUGGGCAAGAUGAAGGCUAUUGUUGAGAAGCUUCGCUUCACAUACAGAAGUGACAGCUUUGAGAACCCCGUGCUGCAGCAGCACUUCAGGAACCUGGAGGCCUUGGCCUUGGAUUUGAUGGAGCCGGAACAAGCAGUGGACCUGACAUUGCCCAAGGUUGAAGCAAUGAAUAAAAGACUGGGCUCCUUGGUGGAUGAGUUUAAGGAGCUUGUUUACCCACCAGAUUACAAUCCUGAAGGGAAAGUUACCAAGAGAAAACACGGUGAGAAGCUGAAUGUGGACAUGUGGGCUAUUUUUAAAAAUUGCUUUUAUGAUAGUCUUAUCACAGUGGGCAAUAUCCUUUCAGAAAUAUCUAUUCACAGUCUAGUUAAAAUGGCUUUUAUCCAAAAAACAGACAAUAACAAAUGCUGGCAAAGAUGUGGAGAAAAGGGAACCCUCAUACACUGUUGGUGGGAAUGUAAAUUAGUACAGCCACUAUUAUGGAGAAUAGUUGGGAGUUUCCUCAAAAAGUGAAAAC